AACGAACGCUGGCGGCGUGCCUAACACAUGCAAGUCGGACGAGAAAGUUUCCUUCGGGAAGCGAGUAAAGUGGCGCACGGGUGAGUAACACGUAGACAACCUGCCUUCCAGUCCGGGACAACCUUUCGAAAGAAGGGCUAAUACCGGAUAACACUUUGGGCCGCAUGGCCUGGGGUUGAAAGAUUUAUCGCUGGAAGAGGGGUCUGCGGGACAUUAGCUAGUUGGCGGGUACGG
rnacentral:rRNA from 1 species